GAGGCAGCAGAGCCAGGUCUGGACCUGGGUGUUUGCUACCUCUCUGGCUUUGGUCUCCAUAUCAAUGGUAUGAAGGCGGCGGUUUCUCCCUCACCGUGUUACGCGGCGUGAAAGUGGAAGCUGUGUCGAAAGCACACGGUGAGCAUUCAGAUGGGGGCCAGAAUUCAUCUCAGCCGGCCUUCGUCGUCACUUCAACUGUGGGUAGUUAAGCAGCAUUACUUACUACGUCCCAUUCCACAGAUGAAGAAACAGAGAGGCUGUGUGUAUUGGUGACUUUCUAAAUGACACGUUGUGAACAGGGAUAGGACGGGACCCUGCUCCAACCGUGUGCCCACCAGGCCAUCCUUGUUGCCUCGUGCCUGAUAACGAAGCAGGGCUGGAAAAGCGCUGUCAACAAAUGACUUCUUUUCACCUUUAGGACAAACUUCUGCAUAUGUAGGCCUGGUGGCAUUCCUCUCACCUUACAGGUGAGAAAACUGAGUCAAGGGACACGCCUGAGGUCCCACCGCUGACAGCGAGAGGCCAGAACUGUAACUUUCCUUCAUUCAAACCUGGUACCCACAUGACUCAAGCGAGGGAAAGGUCAGGGCACCCCUGCCUCCCACUGGCCUUAGAGCAGCCACACCCAUGAUCCUGGAACCUUCUGGACUCUGAGAUGCAGCAGAUCAAAGGCCUCGUGAUAAAAGUGGAGACCUAGAGACAAAUCUCGGACUGCUGAAUUUCUCCACUCUCAUGGCAUUGCCCAUCAAGAGGGAUUGCAGUUCUGAACAUGAUGGAUCAGAUGCAAUAUGAGGUGCUUCAUGUCUGCAGGCCUGUCCCAGAAAUUCUCAUAUCCUGUAAGGACUGAAGCUUGAACUGAUAUGGAACCCAUGACUCAGUAGCAGUUGACUGCUAGCCCCUCCUGGGCUUCUACUCCUUUGUCCGUUGCAUCCCCUAAACUCAGCCCACCUGAUUACUUCAUAUCUGUUGGCGGAUUGACUCCCUCCCUCCAGACCACUUUCAAUAAGAAGAUCUUCCUUAUUUGGCUAGGAACAAACACCACGUGGCUUCCCUAUGACCUGUAUGCUGCCUUGAUCUUCUACCCUUGGAAGAAACAGAAGGAGUGAGAGAGUUAUGUCAGCCAGGACAGCAUUAACUUUAAUCCUACUUAAUUCCAGCUCCACGAUGAAAGCCUAACUUUGAGACUUGAUUGAGGUGAGUUUAGGUCAAAUAAGAGGAGGUUUCAUUCAGCCACAUCGUCAUUUAUUCAGCCAACAUUCACAGAGCCAGGCACAGAGCUUGGGGCUGGGAGUCAGAGGAACAAUACUUGGUCCCUGCCCUUGAGGGAGACAAACAGAAGCAAAUAGGAAAUAACUGCAACAUAGGCAAUGAAUUCUGAAGUGAAAGGAAGCAGGAACCCACGCUGGGGAGAGUCACUGAUGGACAGUUGUAACUUUUAGGGAGGGGACACAGAGGCAAGGAGAAGGCAGAAGAAACUGACUCGAGUUGGAUUUUAAAGGCUGAGUAAUAAACUCACAAAAGUAAAAUUAUGGGGCCGGGCGCAGUGGCUCAUGCAUGUAAUCCC
rnacentral:lncRNA from 1 species